rnacentral:rRNA from 1 species
GGGUCAGUAGGUUGGUCGUGCCACCGGUACGUACUGGUCUCACUGAUUCCUCCUUCCUGAAGAACCGUAAUGCCAUUAAUUUGGUGUUGCGGGGAAACAGGACUGUUACUUUGAAAAAAUUAGAGUGUUUGAAGCAAGCUAACGCUUGAAUACAUUAGCAUGGAAUAAUGAAAUAGGACGAUCGAUCCUAUUUUGUUGGCUUCUAGGAUUGACGUA